UCAGGCUGAAGACCUUUACCCGAUUUAGCUGAGAGGUGGUGCAUGGCCGUCGUCAGUUCGUACUGUGAAGCAUCCUGUUAAGUCAGGCAACGAGCGAGACCCACGUCCACAGUUGCCAGCAUACCCUCCGGGGUGAUGGGUACACUGUGGAGACCGCCGCUGCUAAAGCGGAGGAAGGAGUGGGCAACGGUAGGUCAGUAUGCCCCGAAUCUCCCGGGCUACACGCGGGCUACAAUGGUUGGUACAAUGGGCAUCUACCCCGAAAGGGGAAGGAAAUCUCUUAAAGCCAAUCGUAGUUCGGAUUGAGGGCUGCAACUCGCCCUCAUGAAGCUGGAAUCCGUAGUAAUCGCGUUUCAACAGAACGCGGUGAAUACGUCCCUGCUCCUU
rnacentral:rRNA from 1 species